rnacentral:SRP_RNA from 1 species
CCAUACCAGCCGGGGAAUUAGCGGAGCCCUGUACCUGAAAUCCGCUACAGCAGGGGUUGAUUCCUCUUCUGAGGGUCGAUUCUUUACGGUCCGAGGCAUAUUUGUUUGUGUUGAGAGAUGGGUCUUGCGCAAUUAGGCUCUGUGAACCAUGUCAGGUGGGAGACCAAGCAGCAUUAAGCGGAUAACCUGAUGUGCCGCGAGGGUGCCUGUUUUGAGCAAACGGUAUGUUUCCGCGUAGGGAAAACAUUCGAUUUAGAGGUGUAUGG